AUGAGCCCAGCUAUACAAACCUCCGCUCCUCCUCCCGUCCUCGUUCACUCCGCAUCCGCAGCCGAAUUCCCCCCGUCUCCACCGCUCAGCCCCCCGGACUGCCGGACCUCGCCUCGCCUUGCCAUGGCAGCCGCAGCACUGAGAGCCCGGCUCAACGCCCACAUCUCCAGAAUGUAUGCCCAGGGCGUGGUGGAGGAGGAGACCUUCGAGCAACUGCGGGAGGACGGCACCGCCAGCGAGGUCGCCCGCCUCUUCAUCAACGACGCCUACGAGAUCCUCCACGACAUCGACAUCCGGAUGGAGGAGCCGGAAGUGGACAUUGACGAGGUGGAAGCCCUGACGCAACAGCUCAUGGAGUGCGCCUCCAGUGUUGGUGCACAGCAAGUGAAACUCGCCUGCAUGCAUUUCGGCGAUUUCUAUGCAAUAAAAUGCAAACAAGGGUGCCUUGUGUCAUUGGAUCUUGUUAGGAAUUUGUACUGUAUUGUGCGCAAUGAUGUGGAGAUCAUGAUGCAGCUGGAGGAUAUGAUCGCGGCCUGUGGUCCUAAGUAA
rnacentral:rRNA from 1 species